CUAGGGGACUGAGGGAGGGCUGGGGCGGUACGAAGCGGGGGUGGGCUCUGCGCGUAAUGGCAGCGCCGUGGCCUCGCGUCCAUCUUUGCCGUUCUCUCGGACCUGUCACAAAGGAGUCGCGCCGCCGCCGCCGCCCCCUCCCUCCGGUGGGCCCGGGAGGUAGAGAAAGUGGCACGGAUGAGGCAUACCUCCCCGGGGAGAUUUAGAAACGCCUUGGGAUAGAGAGAGAAUGGGGCUAGGAAGCAGGAGCUAGAACUAGCGGAAUGUCCUACUACGGAAGCCGGAGCUGAAAAUUGGAAGAAAACUUCAAAAUGAAGAUGCGUAUAUAGGCCCUUGCUUCCAUAAGUCCUCAACCGGGAUUGUCGUCUCUCUUCCUGGCAUUUCUCUGAGUGAUCAGGAACCUCCCUAUUCAAUGAUAACAUUACACGAAAUGGCAGAAACAGAUGAAGGAUGGUUGGAUGUUGUCCAGUCUUUAAUUAGAGUUAUUCCACUGGAAGAUCCACUGGGACCAGCUGUUAUAACAUUGUUACUAGAUGAAUGUCCAUUGC
rnacentral:lncRNA from 1 species